GCUCUCGUAGUUCAACGGAUAGAACAGUCCCGUCCUAAGGGAUAGAUGCAGGUUCAAUUCCUACCGAGAGCA
rnacentral:tRNA from 1 species